GCUUCCAUAGCUCAGUUGGUUAGAGCGUCGUACUAAUAAUGCGAAGGUCGCAGGUUCAAUCCCUGCUGGGAGCA
rnacentral:tRNA from 2 species